UACGUAUGGGGCGAGCGUUGUUCGGAAUUAUUGGGCGUAAAGGGCGCGCAGGCUGUUAUGCGAGUCUGCUGUGAAAUGUACCGGCUCAACCGGUGCCUUGCGGCGGAUACUGCAUAGCUGGAGUACUGGAGAGGGAAGUGGAAUUCCCGGUGUAGCGGUGAAAUGCAUAGAUAUUACAAGGAACUCCGAUUGCGAAGGCAGCUUACUAAAAUACUACUGACGCUCAUGCACGAAGGCGUGGGGAUCAAACAGGAUUA
rnacentral:rRNA from 1 species